CCAUGGUGCAAUGAUGGUAAAUGUUAAUCCCAGCUCUAUGAGACCUCCAGUUAAAAGGUCUGGGAAUAGAUUGUAACAUCUAUCUGAGCUUAUAA